CCAACGGUCCUUUUCAGGACCACAGAAAGUUUU
rfam:Aedes albopictus isolate Foshan contig145706, whole genome shotgun sequence.